rnacentral:rRNA from 1 species
CGGACGGGUGAGUAAUGUCUGGGAAACUGCCUGAUGGAGGGGGAUAACUACUGGAAACGGUAGCUAAUACCGCAUAACGUCGCAAGACCAAAGAGGGGGACCUUCGGGCCUCUUGCCAUCGGAUGUGCCCAGAUGGGAUUAGCUAGUAGGUGGGGUAACGGCUCACCUAGGCGACGAUCCCUAGCUGGUCUGAGAGGGUGACCAGCCACACUGGAACUGAGACACGGUCCAG